GACGAACGCUGGCGGCGUGCUUAACACAUGCAAGUCGAACGGAAAGGCCCUGCUUUUGUGGGGUGCUCGAGUGGCGAACGGGUGAGCGACACGUGAGUAACCUGCCCUUGACUUUGGGAUAACUUCAGGAAACUGGGGCUAAUACCGGAUAGGAGCUCCUGCUGCAUGGUGGGGGUUGGAAAGUUUCGGCGGUUGGGGAUGGACUCGCGGCUUAUCAGCUUGUUGGUGGGGUAGUGGCUUACCAAGGCUUUGACGGGUAGCCGGCCUGAGAGGGUGACCGGCCACAUUGGGACUGAGAUACGGCCCAGACUCCUACGGGAGGCAGCAGUGGGGAAUAUUGCACAAUGGGCGGAAGCCUGAUGCAGCAACGCCGCGUGCGGGAUGACGGCCUUCGGGUUGUAAACCGCUUUCGCCUGUGACGAAGCGUGAGUGACGGUAAUGGGUAAAGAAGCACCGGCUAACUACGUG
rnacentral:rRNA from 1 species